AUAAUUCAUCAGCAAAAUUCUGGACCUGGGUUUUUUCUCGGUAUUUUUUUUUUUUAACUAAUUCAGUCUCCUCACUUUUUAUAGCUAUAUUCAAAUUAAUUUUUUCUUGAGUCAUCCCUGGUAGUUUAGGAUCUGGCAUUGCCAGGAGCUAUGGUGUAGGUUGCAGGUGCGGCUCGGAUUUUGUGUGGCUGUGGUGUAGGCCGGCAGCUGUAGCUCCAAUUAGACCCCUAGCCUGGGAACCUCCAUACCUUCAUAUGCUGGGAGCAUGGCCCUAAAAACCAAAAAAAAAAAGGACUUGCUUUUGGUUUCAAUGGUUUUUCUCAACUGUUUUUGUAUUCUCUAUUUCACUUAUUUCUGCUCUAAUUUUUAUUUCCUUUCUCUACUUGUUUUAGAUUCAGUUUUUUUCUACCUUUUUCAAGAAUCUUGAGGAGUCUUAAGAUUUGUUUAUUUAUUUAAAAACUUUCUCUGAUCAUAUAGGCAUUUAUUGGUAUAAAUUGCCCUCUAAGCCUGCGUUAGCUGCCUCACGUGAGUUUUGGUAAGUCGUGACUUCAGUUUUAACCAUUUUAAUUAUGUUUCUAACCUCCCUUUUGAUUUUUUCUUUCGCCAAUGGUAAUUUUGGAGGUUGUUCAUUUCCAAUAUUUGAGUUUCUCUGAUUUCUUUAUGUUUUCAAUUAUGAAGUUCACUCCAUUGUGACUGGAGUACAUAUUUUCUGUUAUUUCAGUUCUUUUUCGUGUACUCUAGAUUGCCUUACGGCAUGUAGUCUUUCUUGAAGAAUGUUUAUGGGAAGCUGAGAAGAAUGUAUAUUGUAUAUUUUACUCUUGUGUAGAGUGUUCCACAUGUUUGUUGGUUUAUGCUCUUGUUCGAGUCUUCUAUUUCCCCUUUUGCCUAGCUCUGCCUAUUAUUGAAAUAGGUUAUUGAAGUCUCCAAAACUUAUUAUUGAAUUGUCUAUUUCUUCCUUCAUUUCUGUCAGUUUUUGCUGCAUGAAAUUUGGUGUUCUGUCAUUAGGUGCAUCUGUAUUUAUAAUUGUUAUGUCUUUCUGAUGGGUCGACUCUUUUACCACUAUAAAAUGUCUUUUUGUUUUAAAGUCUCUUUUGCCUGAAAUUAGUAUAACAAGUAUAGCAUUCUUGGGGGGGGGUUUGAGUUAUAUUUCCUUUUCCAUCCUACUUUUCAUUCAUUUUUAUCUUGGAAUAUAAAAUGAAACUCCUGGGAGCUGCUACUGGGCUACAGUGGGUUAACAAUCCAACAUUGUCUCUGUGGCAGUUUGCGUUCAACCCCUAGCCCAGCAUAGUGGGUUAAGGAUCCAGUGUUGCUGCAGCUGUGGCAUAGGUCGCAGCUGUGGCUCAGAUUCAGUCCCUGGCCCAGGAAUUUCCAUAUGCCUCAGAUGUGGUUGAAAAAGAGAAAAAAGUGUGACUCCCAUAUGCAAUAUAGACUUAGAUCUUUUUUUUUAAAUCUGGUCUGACCGUCUCUGUAAUUAGAUUGUUAAAUCCAUCCACAUUUACUGUUAUUAUUGGUAUCCUUGGAUUUAGGUCUACAGUUCUUUGUUUUCUAUGUUCUUUUUCUUUUUUUUGGUUUCUCCAUUUCUUUUACUGUUUUCUUUUGCAAAAAAAAAAAGCAGUGAAUGUUUUCUAAUGUGGCGCUUAAAUUCCUUAAUAACUUUUCUAUCAUAUGUUUUUUCUUUGUGACUGCCCUUUGGCUUAUCACAUACAUCUCAACUUAUAGAAUCAGAUUCCAGUUUAUACUAACUUAAUUGCAGCUAGAUAUAAAAAUGUUACUUUUAUAAAGCUCUAUGCUCUCUUCACCUUUUUUGAGGUAUUAUUGUUAUAUGUUACAUCUAUAAAUACUAAAAACUAGACCAAAUAUGACAUCAUAUAAUUUUAUGUCUUCUAAAGAAGUUGAGAGAAGAAAGAGCAAAGAUAUAUUUAUAGAUUUUGUAAAUUAGUGGGGCUCUGCAAUCAUUCUAGAAGAUCUGAGUUACCAUCUGGAGGCAUUUUCUUAUUGCUGCACAUCUUUUCUCCCACUUACCUCCUUUGUACAGUUAUAGGAAAAUAUCUGCAUGUACUGCAGACCCAACAAUACAUUAUAUACACACUCCCUUAUACAGUGCUUUCUAAAUCAGUCGAGCGAAGAAAGUAGAAAAAAUGCAUUUGUACUCUUUUAUAGUUAACCUAAUAACCUUUCCUGAUGACCUUUGUUGUUGUUUUUACAUUCAGAUUAAUUCCUGGGGUUGCUUACUUUCAUCUUGAAUAACUUCUUUUAAUAUUUCUUGUAAAGCAGGUAUGCUAGCAAUAAAUUUCUUCAGUCCUUGUUCAACUUCAACUUUUUAAAAAUAACUUCGAUGGCUAUAAAAUUCUUAAUUCAUAGUGUUUUUUGGGAGUUCCCAUCAUGGCUCAGUGGUAACAAACCUGAGUAGUAUCCAUGGGGAUGUGGUUCAAUCCCUGUCCCCACUCAGUGGGUUAAGGAACUGACAUUGCUAUGAGCUCGGAUCCUGCAUGGCUAUGGCUGUAUCGUAGGCCAACAGCUGUAGAUCCUAUUCAGCCCUUACCCUGAGAACUUCCAUAUGCUGUGGGUACAGCCCUAAAAAGCAAAAAAUAAAAAAUAAAAAUUAGGAGUUAUGUCGUGCCUCAGUGGAAAUGAAUCUGACUAGCAUUCUUGAGGACAUGGGUUCAAUCCCUGGCCUUGCUCAGUGGGUUAAGGAUCUGGCAUUGCUGUGAGCUAUGGUGUGGGUUGCAGAUGCAACUUGGAUCCAGCAUUGCUGUGGCUGUGGUGUAGGCCAGUGCUAUGGCUCCAAAUUGACCACUAGCCUGGAAACCUCCAUAUGCUGUAGGUGCGGCCCUAAAAAGACAAUCAAUCAAUCAGUCAAUCAAUAAAAAUAAAAAACAGUGAGUUUUUUCUCUAGGUACUUUGAAUAUGCUAUCUCAGUUCUUUCUGACCUCUUGUUUCUUCUGAGGAGUUAGUUAUUAAUCUUAUUGGGGUUCUUUAAAGUGAUAAAAAGACUCUCUUCUAAGUAAAAGCAUUCUUUUUUCUAUCUUCCUCCUUCUAAGAUUUCUACUUUGCCUCACCUUUCUGCAUUUUUACUUCAAGGCGUCUGCGGAUCCCUUUCUGUUUACCCUACUUGCAGUUCACUGGGUUCCUGGAUGUGAGUAAAUGCUUCUUUACUUGCUGUAUCCUUGGAACUAAUUACACAGACUUUAAACAGCUGCUUUUGUUUGUGUUUUGUUUUAUAAUUUUCAUAGUUUGGCUAGGGAGCGGGUCAGUGGAAUUCUUCACACUACUGUACUGGAAGUUCCUCCAAGACCUAUGCAAUUUUCAAGCCUGAAUGCUCAGUGACUUGUGAAAUUUGAUUUGCCACAGAGUAAUUACAUAUCGGUUGCCAACAAAAUUAAAUUCAUAUAUUAUUAGUAUCAUAUGAGUCACAUCAUUAUUUGUGUGCAUUAAAGGCUUUACAGAUGCUAUGAUGAUCUGAGUUAGUGUACUUUUUAAAAAAAUUAAGUUCUGUGAGUCAGCCAUAUGUUUAAGUAACUGAAAUUACUGCAAAUGAUGAAAAAUAUACCUAACAAUAAUUUAGUAGAAUUUUUUUAUUACAGAAGUCCAUCAAGCAGUUGAAGCAACCACCAUGACACAAUAUGUAAUUUAGUAGAUAAAGCAGAGAAAAUUAAAACUGAAUUUUGCUAUAGUAUUUAUAGAUAGGUGACUAUAGUAUUUAUAGAUACAAUGUCAUAUUGUCCCAAGUGUGAGCUUUAAGUGAUGUUUACAAGAUCUUUCAUAGGAUAAUGAAUAUCAAUAACAGCCUUGGGACCAGUUGAGGGAACAGGAACUGACUUUUGAUACUAACCAUUCUACUAUGUUCUAUUUUAGAUUUUGCUGCCAGCCACUACCUUGAAAUUUUAAAAAGAGAGGGGACUUCACAUGGGGUCCGAAUGUCUCUGAACACUGCUAAGAACAAACUACAAACUACAGCAGACCCUUGGUGCCCCUGGACAUCCCUCAGCUCAGUUAAAGCUGUGGAGGACGGCUGCUCUCAUGUGCACAGAGCCUCAGCCUAAGUCCCCACCUUGUCUCUCAUUAUUCAGCUUUGGGAAUUUUUCUAAGGGUAAAGGAGCUCACUGACCCCAUUUACAGUGAGUUCAGGGGAUUACUGGCUGAUUGUCAAGCCACAGAUAAAGGUCACAGCUUCCUGUGCCUCAGUGGUCAGUUGAGAUUCACAUGACCCAGCCCCUUACAGAGUACCCAAUGGGAUAGAUGUCAGCUUGUUCACCGCUGUCACCAGCUCAGCAGCACACACUUUAGUGGCUUCUCCUCCUCUCUUGUAUCCUUUUUCCCACUCCCUCAUUCUUGCUUUUUGAAAUCAUUUCCCAAAUAACUACUUGCACAAGCUUGUGUCUCGUCUGUGUUUGGGAAGAAUACAAAAUGAAGACAACAGGAAAAACAAGCAAGACAACACUACCCCUGCUCUGAUCAAGUCAAAGUCAAGUAUAAGGGCUCCAGCCAAAAACUAACAUCUACCUUAACCCCUCAACCAGAAUUAAGGAGUUGGCAGGUCCCCAAACUAGCAAUACUAACACAAUCACCCAGCAGAAUCAGUAUCACCACCAGGAGAGUCAGUAGUACUUAUGUUGUAUUUUCCAGAAGAUCUGAUUGGUCCAUUGAUAGCUACCACUUAUGCUUGAUGGAAACUGAAUCAGAUACAGGAUUUUAGCUGCAAGGGAGUCUGAUUUCCUAUUGCUGCUGUAAGAAAUUACCGUUAACUCAAUAGCUUAAAAGAACAAAAGUGUAUUCUCUCACUUGAGGAGGACAGAAGUCCAAGAUCAGUGUCAAAGUAUUGAUGGGUCUUUCUUCCCUCCAGAAACCUUAGGGGAUAAUCUGUUCCUGGCCUUUUCCUGCCUCUGGUCGCUCUGGCAUUCCUUGGCUUGUGGUAACAUCACUCCAUCCCCUGCCUUCUGGACAAAUGGCCAUGUCUUCUGUGGAUUAAUGGAGCCCCAAGAAGUAAGAAGGCAGACAAGCCCCUCACACAGAUGAUGAGAGUCCCAGUAGGAAGCCGCCCUCACCCUCAGAGGGUCUGAGCCCUGACACAGGUGAUGGCACAUCCUUCGGCGACCAUAUACCCAUGCAGUGUUUGCCAGGAAUCGAAGAAAUUCUCACAUACUGAAGUAUGGGGAAGCCAUUCUGGCUUAUACAUGGUUUGGUCUGAACUAGAGCAACCUGCCAUACACACAUAAUACUUAAGCAAAAGAAUGCAUUACCCAGAACUAAAGAAUGUCCACUCUAAAUACAGGGAUAAAUGCCUCCCUUCCUUUGAUAUCCAUGCUGGUACCCCUUUGAUGAUAAGACUUCCUUCCCAGAUGCCAAGGACAUGCUGACUUGUAUAUGUGCUCAUCUGUCUUUUGAAAGCUUGAAGGAAUGUAUCCAUCAUGUUUGUACUCAGCAUGUUUGGUGUAUAUUCUUUGUUGUGACAAUAUAUAAAACCAUGUUGC
rnacentral:lncRNA from 1 species